GGCUAAUCCUCAUCUGGACCGUUAAAUCACACCAACCUGUUUUGAUAUCAGCUGCCCGUAGACUCCGCAGUAAAUCUUCAUCCAGACCAGGACACAUCCCCUGCAGUAACACCACCAUGGCUCCUCAUCACUGACUUGAUUGGCCGGCCUACCUAAAUUACUCCAAGAGUGAUGACUCAUCCAGGGGGUCACAAAAGAACCCAGCAGAAGAUUCGAUUCAAAGCACUGCAGACCGAACCUUCCUCAUUUAAGGUCAAACACUCUUGCUGGUGAUAAACAUACCAGCAGAGAAGAAAGCCCUGAACCAUCAGGGUCUUUCUGAGGGCUCGCCGUGGAUGGACCCUGACAAGACUUCGACUCCCACUGAGGAGGAAUCCUCUCUCUGGCUCAGGUGUGUUUUAAGUGAUAGUAUGAUGGACACAAGACGUGGAUCAAGAUGGAAAGAACAACAUUCCAGGGAGAAGACAUGCCUUAAACUGUCCAAAAACCUCUCACUGACCAAGGUUCUUCCUGCAGCCAUGCAGCUGUUCCCUAUUCACCAGGAAGACACUCCCUGUGCAGCCAAACAACUCCAGAGUAUCAACCGUGGCCAAACACUGGACUAGAAAGCUACUGGCUCUUCUUCUAUCAUGAGAAAAGCUGAUAAUUCCUGCUGUACCUGUUUGAGACUGGUGAGGGUCUGGGCGCCGGACGCCUUGGCCACCAUGGUGUGGCUGUUGCCGGGGCUGGGCUGCAGGGACAGGGUCAGGCCCGACACGGCGUGAACUCGCAG